GUCGCAGUAAAUUGGCUGAAUGGAGGCAAUAAAUUGUAAAUUUAUCUAUAAGAAUUAUCUUAUUU
rnacentral:tRNA from 1 species